AAUGAACGCUGGCGGCAUGCCUUACACAUGCAAGUCGAACGGCAGCAUGACCUAGCUUGCUAGGUUGAUGGCGAGUGGCGCACGGGUGAGUAAUGCAUCGGAACGUGCCUUUUAGUGGGGGAUAACGUAGCGAAAGUUACGCUAAUACCGCAUAUUCUCUGAGGAGGAAAGCAGGGGACCUUCGGGCCUUGCGCUAGAAGAGCGGCCGAUGUCGGAUUAGCUAGUUGGUGAGGUAAAGGCUCACCAAGGCAACGAUCCGUAGCGGGUCUGAGAGGAUGAUCCGCCACACUGGGACUGAGACACGGCCCAGACUCCUACGGGAGGCAGCAGUGGGGAAUUUUGGACAAAGGGCGCAAGCCUGAUCCAGCCAUGCCGCGUGAGUGAAGAAGGCCUUCGGGUUGUAAAGCUCUUUCGGCUGGGAAGAAAUCGCACCCUCUAAUACAGGGUGUGGAUGACGGUACCAGCAUAAGAAGCACCGGCUAACUACGUG
rnacentral:rRNA from 1 species